rnacentral:tRNA from 2 species
GCCGGAGUAGCUCAACGGCAGAGCAAUGCUUUCGUAAAGCAGAGGUUGGAGGUUCAAUUCCUCUCUCCGGCUCAA